UACGGGGGGUGCAAGCGUUGUUCGGAAUUACUGGGCGUAAAGGGCGCGUAGGCGGCCUGCUAAGUCGGACGUGAAAUCCCCCGGCUCAACCGGGGAACUGCGUCCGAUACUGGUGGGCUCGAAUCCGGGAGAGGGAUGUGGAAUUCCAGGUGUAGCGGUGAAAUGCGUAGAUAUCUGGAGGAACACCGGUGGCGAAGGCGGCAUCCUGGACCGGUAUUGACGCUGAGGCGCGAAAGCCAGGGGAGCAAACGGG
rnacentral:rRNA from 1 species